ACCGCGUAUGAAGUACGUUUCACCUCGGGUGACAGGGAGACAGGUGGUGCAUGGUUGUCGUCAGCUCGUGUCGUGAGAUGUUGGGUUAAGUCCCGCAACGAGCGCAACCCCUACGUUUAGUUGCUAACGCGUGAAGGCGAGCACUCUAGACGAACUGCCGUUGACAAAACGGAGGAAGGUGGGGAUGACGUCAAAUCAUCAUGCCCCUUAUGUUCUGGGCUACACACGUGCUACAAUGGCCGGUACAGACGGACGCAAAGCCGCGAGGUGGAGCAAAUCCUAAAAAGCCGGUCUCAGUUCAGAUUGCAGUCUGCAACUCGACUGCAUGAAGCCGGAGUUGCUAGUAACCGCAGGUCAGCAAUACUGCGGUGAAUACGUUCCCGGGUCUU
rnacentral:rRNA from 1 species